CCGCAGUCCCACUGGCGAGAGUGGACCUCGAACUCCCUGACGAUGCUCCGGUAAAGAACAAAGAGACGUUGGGACGUAGCUUCUCCAGAGUCGUGGUGCGCUGGGUCCGGGCAAAACACCAAUUAGACUCGGCCGGUUUCCAUCUCGCGUGAAG